UACGUAGGGUGCAAGCGUUAAUCGGAAUUACUGGGCGUAAAGCGCGCGCAGGCGGCUUCGCAAGUCAGACGUGAAAUCCCCGGGCUUAACCUGGGAAUGGCGUUUGAAACUACGGAGCUGGAGUACGGUAGAGGGGGAUGGAAUUCCGCGUGUAGCAGUGAAAUGCGUAGAUAUGCGGAGGAACACCGAUGGCGAAGGCAAUCCCCUGGACCUGUACUGACGCUCAUGCACGAAAGCGUGGGGAGCAAACAGG
rnacentral:rRNA from 1 species